rnacentral:sRNA from 1 species
AUCCCCUGCAGCGAUGGAUCGCUGAGGAUCAAGGAAGAUAACCAGGCCAGGAUUGGCCGCCGACAGGAUGUCGGGUGGUUGGGAAGAAACCCGCUUCGGCGGGUUUUUU